rnacentral:rRNA from 1 species
CGGGUGAGUAAUGUCUGGGAAACUGCCUGAUGGAGGGGGAUAACUACUGGAAACGGUAGCUAAUACCGCAUAACGUCGCAAGACCAAGGAGGGGGACCUUCGGGCCUCUUGCCAUCGGAUGUGCCCAGAUGGGAUUAGCUAGUAGGUGGGAUAACGGCUCACCUAGGCGACGAUCCCUAGCUGGUCUGAGAGGAUGACCAGCCACACUGGAACUGAGACACGGUCCAG